AGCAGCCGCGGUAAUUCCAGCUCCAAUAGCGUAUAUUAAAGUUGUUGCAGUUAAAAAAGCUCGUAGUUGAAUUUCGGGAUCAAUAUGCCGGUCAUGCCUUGGUAUGCACUGGUAUCUUUGAUUUCUCCCUUCUGACGAACUUUGAUGUCAUUUAAUUUGGUGUCAUAGGGAAUCAGGAC
rnacentral:rRNA from 1 species